rnacentral:rRNA from 1 species
AGCGAACGCUGGCGGCAGGCCUAAUACAUGCAAGUCGAGCGCACCUUCGGGUGAGCGGCGGACGGGUGAGUAACGCGUGGGAAUGUGCCCUUUGGUACGGAACAACUGAGGGAAACUUCAGCUAAUACCGUAUGUGCCCUUCGGGGAAAGAUUAUCGCCAUUGGAGCAGCCCGCGUUGGAUUAGCUAGUUGGUAGGGUAAAGGCCUACCAAGGCUACGAUCCAUAGCUGGUCNGAGAGGAUGAUCAGCCACACUGGGACUGAGACACGGCCCAGACUCCUACGGGAGGCAGCAGUAGGGAAUCUUGCGCAAUGGGCGAAAGCCUGACGCAGCCAUGCCGCGUGAAUGAUGAAGGUCUUAGGAUU